CAUAUUUCAUAAGGAAGGGGAUUUUUGUCUGUUUUAUGCCAUAUGUGUUCCAAGCACCAAAAAUUGUCGGGGUCUGGAUAUUUAUGCCUCUUGCAAGUUAACAAGUUAAUUCAUGGGAGAAGACUCCUGGGCCAGAGACAAAGGAAAGUUAAGAUUGCUCGGUUGUGGUUGCUGGAGGCUUGGCAUCUGGAGCCACCUGAGGACAGGAUCUUGACCUGGUGGCAGUCAUCUAGAGAUUGUAGAGAUUCAGAACACAGGCUCUGAAAUCAGACUCCCUGACUUUGAAAUCCAAGUCUUUAUUUUAAAAGCUAUCACCUCCUUUGCAAGAAUUAAACAAAUCAUCAUUUGCUUUCAAUAUCCAUCAAUGACUACCUUAUACCAUGAAGGCAAUUAAACAGAAGUAAGCUGAAGGGUUAAGAAAGCAAAGCAGAAGGACAGAAAGAUCCUGAGUUUUUGAUGACGUGUGAGUCCCAGAGAGAUUUGUGCCC